ensembl:lncRNA
AUGUUAACAUGCAUAUCUUAUCAGGUAGAUAUGAAACACCUGCAGCAGCAACAGGAUUACAUUGAGAAAAGGCAAUGUAAAUCAGAGGCAUCGCUGAGAGAUAUGGCACAGUUUUACCUUAAGUUAAACAGCAAGAUGCAGGAUAUAAUGAACAAGUUAGAUGAAAUCGUCAGAAAAUUGCAGACAUCGGAACACACCAGAAAGAAAGCUGUUCAGGAAGAAUCUGACAAAGAACUGGAGAAACCCAGGCAACUCCACGUACAAGUGGGAGAAACCUUAACCUGCAACCUGAAUAAGGCACAUGAGGAAUUAACAGUGGUCAGAACUGAAUUUCUUCAGGAGACAGAUAGGAAUGAACCUUUACCCAGCACUAGUACCAUGAGGCCUGCUGUACCGUCAUCCAGUGUUAGGAACGUUCGUGGUGGUUUAAUGUGCAAAGGAAACCAUGUCCCACAAAGAAAGUUAAGAAUUCCUACCUCACAGCUACAGCUUUCACGUAACUGCACACUGGACUGCUCGUACAUGGUUUCACCGGAUGAUGCAGGAUGUUGUUGCAUGAAUUCAAAAAUUGAAAUCCAGAAUUUGAAGAAGGAAUUAAGUGACCUCAGGAGACAAUCUAAAGAUGAACAGCAACACAUAAUGCUGCUUGCUGAGUUAAAUCAAGCUCUGCAGGACAAACUGGAUGAAGAGAUGAAGAAAAAUGGUGAUUUAGGAGACAAGAUAACUCAGUAAGAUUUUAGUAUUUCAGGUUAUAUCAAUUAUUCUUUAAUUAACUUAUCUAUAGUUUGACUAUAUUAAAGCCUAAAUACACAUUUUCUUAUGUUUUCAUAAUUGAACUGUACCCUGCAAAAGUUUACUUCUGAAACUCACAGAACCAUCUGGAACCUUUUAUAUUUUUUGAAUCCCAAAAUAUAACAUUUUCUGUUUCAUGAUUUCAUAAACAGUAAUAACAAUGCCCUGGCACAUAAUGUCAACUGAAUUCUUCUUAAUGUAUCUUCAGCUUCUUUUUCUGGAGAUGCAUUUGCUGUCUUUGAUAAUGUUUCCAUUUUUGGUAACGAUCUUCUCUUAAACAUCCAAAUAUUCAAAUAUUUAAAAUAUAUCAGCAUCAUUCUUUCAUAAAAUUAAAAUUUAUAUUUUUUAGCUAUAAAAUAUUUCAUGAGAUGUGCUAAUUUUCUUUGUGUAUAGUGUAUAUAUACAGUAUAUAUACUGUAUAUACUGUAUGCAUUUAACUGUUUUAAAUAUAUAUAUGUACCUAUUGCAUGUAUAUAUAUGUAUAUAUAUAUGUAUAUUAUAUUUGAUACAUAAAAAUGUAUGACCUCUUCCAGGCCAGCUCUCUGCUGUGGUCCAGGAGUGCAGUGGAGGAAGGCCCAAGUGCUUGGGCCCUGCACCCCAUGGGAGACGAGGAGAAGCACCUGGCUCCUGCCUUCGGAUCAGCAUGGUGCGCCGGCCACAGUGCACCUGCCGCAGCGGCCAUUGGAUGGUGAACCAACGGUAAAGGAAGACCUUUCUCUCUGUCUCUCUCUCUCACUGUUCACUCUGCCUGUCAAAAAAAAGAGAAAACAAACUUCCAAGGUCAGAGGAGUCCUUUAAUUCUUACCUCUCUCUAUUUUUAUUGCAAACUAGAAACUACUGGAUUUUCUAAUUCAAUUUCUGGAAAAAUGGAGCCUCCUGUGAUUUUAUUGGAGUUCAUCCUAUUAGACAAUAAAUAUUCAGAAAUACUGCCUUUUGAAAAUUUG